rnacentral:rRNA from 1 species
CCUCGGGGGGCAGCAGUGGGGGAUAUUGCACAAUGGGGGGAACCCUGAUGCAGCGAUGCCGCGUGAGCGAAGAAGUACCUCGGUAUGUAAAGCUCUAUCAGCAGGGAAGAAAAUGACGGUACCUGACUAAGAAGCCCCGGCUAAAUACGUGCCAGCAGCCGCGGUAAUACGUAUGGGGCAAGCGUUAUCCGGAUUUACUGGGUGUAAAGGGAGCGCGGGCGGCCUGCCAAGUCUGGUGUGAAAACCCGGGGCCCAACCCCGGGCCUGCAUUGGAAACUGUUGAACUGGAGUACAGGAGAGGUAAG